rnacentral:tRNA from 1 species
AGUGUAAUGGCUGAUAAAAGUAUUAGAUUGUAAAUCUAAAUAUGAGAAACUUUCUCUUACACUA